rnacentral:rRNA from 1 species
CCUACGGGAGGCUGCAGUGGGGAAUCUUGCGCAAUGGGCGGAAGCCUGACGCAGCAACGCCGCGUGAGGGAUGAAUGCCUUCGGGUUGUAAACCUCUUUCAGCAGGGACGCGGUACCUGCAGAAGAAGCUCCGGCCGACUACGUGCCAGCAGCCGCGGUAAUACGUAGGGAGCGAGCGUUGUCCGGAUUUAUUGGGGGUAAAGAGCUCGUAGGCGGCUUGGUAAGUCGGAUGUGAAACCUUCACGCUCAACGUGGAGACGCCAUCCGAUACUGCUAGGCUUGAGUCCGGUAGGGGCCCACGGAAUUCCUGGUGUAGCGGUGAAAUGCGCAGAUAUCAGGAGGAACACCGGUGGCGAAGGCGGUGGGCUGGGCCGGACUGACGCUGAGGAGCGAAAGCGUGGGGAGCGAACAGGAUUAGAUACCCUUGUAGUC